CACGGGCAGGAGCAGGCUGCUGUGUGGUUAGCACCGUAGGCACCCAGCAGAGGAGAGCUGCACCGCAAAGAAAGCGGUGGAUCUAUAUUCUACAGACAUCUUUCCCCACUUCUCCUCACGGCUGGGGAAGGCAAGGGAGCAGCUUCUCUCUGCAGCUCGGGAACAAGGUUCUAGCUCACCUGAGCCCCUGAAGAUGUUCCUCACCUGGGUCUCAGUUGUUGCAAUAUUUUCCACUCUCGAAGGGGCUAAUGGAGAGCCAGUGAAACAACCUGAUGCCCCAGUGACUGUGUCCCAAGGGGAACCAGUGCUGCUGAAAUGCACCUAUGACCCUACCCAGUCUCCAAGGCUCUGGUGGUACCAGCACUACCCAAAUGAAGCCCCUCGCCUCUUGCUGGGAGACUAUGAAGCAUCGGGUGAGGAGGAGAGAAGGAGCCGGCGAGGGUUCUCCGCCACACCCGACAAACAGGAGAAGACCUUCCACCUGAAGAAAAACUCCAGUGAACUGCGCGACUCCGCCGUCUAUUACUGCGCCAUGAGCGACACGGUGAUUGCGCCCGGCAGAGUCGCUGCACAGAAACCCGCGGGGGGAAGAUGAGGCGGCACUAAGGAUGUCUGGGUUAGAGCCCCAGAGGAACAGACUUUGCACAG